GGCAGACGCGAAGGCAGGGGGCGUGUAAGGGAUGGCCCGGAGUUGGUUCACCGUGCGGGAGAAUCAACACGCCAGGAUCGGUCUCAGAAGCGGCAACAAUGCCCCUGCGGCCAGCGUAGUCUCCGACGGGGGGAGGGAAAGGCGGCGAACACCGGCACCCCCUCCCUCCUCUCUGCAACAGGUCAGCAGAGUGGACGAUUAUUACAGUGGACCUGUCUAACACUUCACUGGAUGUGCUAUUGUUGCAUAUGGAACUGCACUAUUUACCACUGCUAUCCCGUCUCUCCAUUGACUCUUCUCGAUAAUCUAUGUAAGGGAGAUUAUUUUUCCCCAUUUGUUCUUCAAAUUUUGCAAGUGUCUCUACUGCACUGGUAUCCACCUGUCCUCUGAAGCAGGGAGAGCAAGAGAGUUAGGAGCUGUGCCCACCCCACUUUUACCCAGUCCAGUUCUUGCGGUAUCUGUGCCCUUCCAGAAGAAACCCCCCAGCUAAGAGAGAAACCAGCUGCACCCUUCCCGUGGCAACUUCUUUUGUCUCUCAUAAGUACCGGUCGUUAUGGUUUCUUAGGGACAGAUGGUACAAAAUUCCAUGAUAGAAAGAAACAAAGGGAAAAAUCCUAAACCCCAACACUAUGUUAUCCAGGCCACAGAUUUAUAGGGGCCCCUCUGGAGCAGCAAAGGAGACCUACAGGUCUAUAUCAUUGAUUAGAAAGGGAGGAAGAAGAAUAAGA